rnacentral:rRNA from 1 species
GAUUGAACGCUGGCGGCAUGCUUUACACAUGCAAGUCGAACGGUAACAGGCCUUCGGGUGCUGACGAGUGGCGAACGGGUGAGUAAUGCAUCGGAACGUACCCAGAGGUGGGGGAUAACGCAGCGAAAGCUGUGCUAAUACCGCAUGUGAUCUGAGGAUGAAAGCGGGGGACCGAGCAGCAAUGUUUGGCCUCGCGCCUUUGGAGCGGCCGAUGUCGGAUUAGCUAGUUGGUGGGGUAAAGGCCUACCAAGGCGACGAUCCGUAGCUGGUCUGAGAGGACGACACGCCACCAGGGGAGUGAGACCCGCCCCAGACUCCUGCGGGAGGCAGCAGGGGGGAAUUUGGGACAAGGGGCGAAGGCCUAACCCAGCAGUCCCGGGGGGGGAAAGAGGCCCUUCGGUUUGAAACCGCUUUUGGGGGGAAAGAAAGGGUUGCCCGCAAAUCCGGGGCGUUAAUGAGGGCCCUGGAAAAAAAGCCCCCGGCUACCUACGGC